rnacentral:misc_RNA from 1 species
GAUCAAAAUAAAGGUUUCUCUGAGUGGGAUAAUGGUGUAACAAAGCAAAAUCAUCAGUCCAUUGUGAAGAUAAUAAUUAAUGGACAGAUUCACGAUGAUGUGGAUAUUGAUGGAUGUGUACUACCAAAAUUGGUGUACAUGGCACGUGAAAAGAGACCCCAGCAUCCCCACCACUUUAAAGCUGGAGCUAUGAAUGCACUGAUAAGAGUAUCCUCAGAGAUAAGCAAUGCUCCGUUCAUCCUCAACUUAGACUGUGAUAUGUAUUCAAAU